UACGAGGGGGGCGAGCGUUGUUCGGAAUUAUUGGGCGUAAAGGGUGCGUAGGCGGUUCCGCAAGUCCUGUGUGAAAUCUUCGGGCUCAACUCGAAGUCUGCACGGGAAACUGCGGGGCUUGAGUGUGGGAGAGGUGAGUGGAAUUCCCGGUGUAGCGGUGAAAUGGCGUAGAUAUCGGGAGGAACACCUGUGGCGAAGGCGGGUCUCUGGGCCGU
rnacentral:rRNA from 1 species